GCUGUGUCGUUGGUGCUUGGAAAAUAAACCAUUUGUUCAUCCACAAUCGAUGAAUACAUUGAGUAGAUUGCAUAAACGAUAUCGCUGCUGAUACAAUGCAAUUGUUGCAUACGAUAAAUACGAUUUAGCACCGACCCCUGAGAAAGCUGGAGUAAAUAAUCGAUAGUGGUUCUAAACCCGUCGGCAGGCCGUAUUCGCUGACGUGGCAGUCAUCGCCUGAGUGGUCUACUCUAUGCGUCAUGUAUGCAUUUAUCAAGCCAAGGCACCGGCAGCUUUGUCGUGGCAUCGUCAAAAUAGAUUUUAUACUAAAAGGUCUAGAAGACGCUGACUACGGGUUUCCCCCAGAGACUCAAGGGCUUUUACCUGGUAGUGAUAUGACCAAGUUGGCAUUUCCUUCUCCACGAUAGCAGCAUCCAUCGAUAUCAUCUAAUUCGCCGACUUCCAUCUCGUCCAUCUGCUAUUUAUAAAUAUAUCCAGUCCAGACUUAAUUAUCUUUCACGUUGGUGUCAACUGAUGGCCAUUUUGGUUUAUUCUCAAUAUUACCCGAUUAGACAGAGAUGAUGAAGAUGAUAAAUGUUCGGGUUUCAAAGGGCAGACAUUGAUGAUGCUGAUAAAUAUAAAGACGGAGCGCAAGUCAGAUCUCGAUUGGAGUUUAAAAACAAUAAGAAUAAUAUAUGAAGAUGGUGAUGAGACAUAAAUUGGAGACAUUGGUGUCUAGUUUGUAUAAUUGUUGGUAGCGAGGCCAAGUGACAAGAAACCGAGGAGACUCUGACGGCCAGGGCAACAACCGCCGAUGACCUCCUCGCUAUCCGUUGCUCCAACAACUACAACGGCAUGGUAUAUAUGAUGAUUCUGCGUGCGCUUGUAGGUCGCUCGAACGUUCCCUCAAUCGAUUGCGACCAUAAUAUUAAAGACUAUCGCGUAUCGCACUUUGUGUAGAUAAAACUUAUGUGUAUUGUGUAGACAUUUAUCUAGAAAAAAAAAAAAAAGGAUUCCUUGGCGCAAAAGUUUAACUUGCCCUCAGAAAUUUUAGCAUGAGAAAUUUAAAAUUGGUUUGCUUGGGACGAAAAAAAAUUUCUUGCGCUAAGAAGUUCUUUUUUUUCUGUAAAUCUAAGAUAUCUUAUAUUGUAAUUUUAUUUUAAAGUUAUCUAUUGUCGUUAAUCAAGAAGAUGAGUAGAGGAAAGGCCAGGGGGUAUGGAUUAUAAAUAAAUAAAUGAUAAAACAUUAACAAUUAUUAUUCGUGAAAUUCCAUAAGCACGAGGCCUUUGUUUUUAUUAUUAUCUCUGUACAAAAACAGUCGAAAAAAUUAUAGAUUUUUUAUCAUUACUUUUUUUCGUUAAAGAUUAAUUAAUUUUUUCGAGCUCACGGCGUAUAUGUACAAGCGGGAAAUUAUAGUUUUGUAACUUAAUAACUAAAAAUAUAAUUAUACAUUGAUAUAAUAUAGAUGUAGUUUUUUUUAUAUAUAAUAAUAAUAAUAAUAUAAUAAUAAAAAUAAUAUUAAUAAUAAUAGUGAACCUACAUAUCUAAGGAUUCGAGUGUUUCCUCGUAAAAGUCUGCUGCAUGUGUUCGCUUUUUAUU